AUAGGGGAGGUGCUGGACUCUGAUCUGGGAAGCACUGAGCCCAUGAGAAUCUCGGAGAAACAAGCGGUGAAGCAGCUGAAGAGGAUCAAUCCCAGUAAGUCAGCAGGGCCUGAUGUGGUUAAUGCCAGAGUACUCAAGAGUAUAUGAGCACCUGGAGAAACCCGGCUGUGUGGUGAGAACAAUUUUCUUUUGACUUCUCCAGUGUUUUCAAUACCACACAACCCCAACUGCUGGCCCAAUAGACUACAGUUCGUAAGACUGAACCAGGCACUAUCAGAUCGGAUAUGUACAAACAUGGGGGCACCACAGGGGACGGGUCAUUGCUGAGGAAGGCCUGCAGGAUGAGGAGGACCAUGAGGUCAUGGACUUCUUGGAGGAAGAUACUUUUGAUGAGGAGCUACUUGAUGAAAAAGAGGAUGAAGAUUUUGAGACACACACAUUUACGUUUACAUUAACGUCAUUUAGCAGACGCUCUUAUCCAGAGCGACUUACAAAUUGGUGCAUUCACCUUAUGAUAUCCAGUGGAACAACCACUUUAUAAUAGUACAUCUAUAUAUUUUUUUGGGGG